AUAUCCAUCGGUGGAAUGCGUAGCAGCUCCUACACUCUUAUCCGUAGAAAUCUGCAUAUCCACUACUGUCGAGCUUGCCACCAACUGCAGCAAUGUCUUCGACCACCCCCCCUCCGCCGGCGUCACAGAACCCAGAGGCGCCUCCGGGAGUCGUCCGCCUGCUGCGGAGGCGUCCACCGAGGUCGACUGGACCGCCGCCGUGGGCCAAGCGGCGGCCCUCCGUCUCCGUCGACUACGACCGCGGCCGCCGCACAGUCCGGGUCGAGGUGGACGGCUUAGGUGGCGAUGCGCUCCCCGCGCGGCACCGCCUCCGUGUGGAGGGGAGCCGGUGGCAGCGGGACUGGAAGGUGUCACAGGUGGCCGCGCGCGUGCUCGCUCUCCCGCGGGCCGACCCCCAUGCCGUCGACGCCGUGCUCAACUGCUGGGCCGGACGCUUCGCUCGCCGAAACUUCCCUCUCCUUAUUCGUGAAAUGGCUUUUUCUGGGUCCUUGGAACAUGCUGUAUAUGUGUUCUGCUGGAUGAAAAACCAGGAGAACUACUGUGCUCGUAAUGACAUUUAUGGUAUGAUGAUACAAUUACAUGCCAGACACAACCAGGUUGAUCAAGCACGUGGCCUGUUCUUUGAGAUGCAAGAAUGGCGGUGCAAGCCAGAUGCUGAUAUAUACAACUCUUUGAUCAAUGCUCAUGCUCGGGCUGGUCUAUGGCGCUGGGCCAUCAACAUUAUGGAUGAUAUGCUUCGUGCUGCUAUACCUCCUAGCCGAGCUACAUAUAAUAAUGUCGUAAAUGCAUGUGGUGCUGCUGGUAACUGGAAAAAGGCUUUAGAACUUUGUAAGAAGAUGAUAAGAAAUGGUGUAGGGCCAGACUUGGUUACGCACAAUAUUGUAUUAUCUGCUUUCAAGAAUGGCUUUCAGUAUACGAAAGCCACAGGUUACUUUGAAAUGAUGAAAGGAGCAAAUAUUGCCCCUGAUACUUUCACUUUAAAUAUUGUCAUCCAUUGCCUUGUAAAAGUCGGACAGCACGGAGAUGCUGUUGAUUUGUUAAACUCGAUGAGGGAGAAAAGAGUACAGUGUUCUCCAGAUGUUGUUACGUACACUAGCAUAAUACAUUCUUAUUAUGUUUGUGGGCAAGUGGAAAAUUGCAAGGCAGUCUUUGAUAUGAUGGUUGCUGAAGGAGUUAAACCUAAUAUUGUAUCAUAUAAUGCACUUUUGGGUGCUUAUGCCUCACAUGGGAUGCACACUGAGGCCUUCGGAAUUUUCAAGUUACUGAAACAAAAUGGUCUGCGACCUGAUGUAGUUUCCUAUACCACUUUACUGAAUGCCUAUGGUAGGUCAGCACAGCCUGAAAAAGCUAGGGAGGUUUUUAACGAGAUGAGGAAGAACUCAUGCAAGCCAAACAAAGUCAGUUAUAAUGCACUAAUUGAUGCUUAUGGAUCUGCCGGAAUGUUCAAGGAGGCCAUUAGCUUACUGCAUGAAAUGGAGAAGGAUGGCAUUCCACCAGACGUUGUUUCAAUAAGUACUCUGUUGGCUGCCUGUGGCCGCUGCAGGCAAACAACAAAAAUUGACACAGUUCUUGAAGCAGCAAAAUUUCGAGGGAUUGAACUUAAUAUAGUUGCGUACAACUCGGGCAUCGGAAGCUAUUUAAGUUUUGGAGAUUAUGAGAAAGCUUUGAAGUUGUACGCAACAAUGAUGGCAAGCAAUGUGAAUCCAGAUGCUGUAACUUACAAUAUACUCAUCAGCGGAUUGUGUAAAUUGGGAAAAUAUGCAGAAUCUCUGAAAUUUUUUGAAGACAUGGUGGACCUGCGAAUUCCUUUAACCAAGGAGGUUUACUCGUCCUUGAUUUGUUCAUAUGUCAAACAGGACAAACUAGCUGAAGCGGAAUCUACUUUUAUUAAUAUGAAAGCAUCUGGCUGCUUCCCUGAUGUUCUGACAUAUACUGCUAUGAUUCAAGCCUAUACUGAUCAUGGGAGUUGGACGAGUGUGUGGGACCUAUUCAAAGAGAUGGAAGGAAAUGCUAUACUGCCAGAUGCCAUUAUAUGCUCAUCCCUCAUGGAAGCAUUGAACAAAGGAAAUCAAUAUGGAAGGGUCCUUCAGUUGAUGAAAUUCAUGCACGAUCAAUGCAUUCAAUUGAACCAAAAAGCUUAUUUUGAAAUAAUAGCUUCAUGCAGCAUGCUACGGGACUGGAAAACUGCAAGUGAAAUAAUUGAACAUUUGGAUUCCUCUCUGCCAUCCAUUUCUGUUGGGAAGCUAAACUAUCUUCUAAAUUUUCUUGGAAAAUGUGGGAAGACAGAGAGUAUGAUGAAGCUGUUUUACAAGAUGGUGAGUUCAUGCUCUACUGUAGGCCUUUCUACUUAUAAGGUUCUGCUGAGAAAUCUCUUAGCAGUUGGAAAAUGGAGAAAGUAUGUUGAGGUUUUGCAGUGGAUGGAGGAUGCUGGAGUCCGUCCAACAUUAUAUAUGUAUCAAAAUGUUCUUCCAUAUAUUUGGAGGGACAAUAGCAUGGAUUAUGUCACUCUCAUGCAGCAAAAAAUAAAUGCCUCGAGAGAGAAGAUAACAUGAGCUUUAAACGUGUAUAUGCAUGUCUUUUUGGUGUGAAACAAUUCAAUCGCUAAAUAUGGUGGAUGACACACUGCUGAGUUUGUUUUCUAAGUUGUGCAACAAUGGAUACUCCCUCUGGAAAGAUUGGCAAGAUCAAGGUAAGAUCUAAAUAUAGUCCAGCGAGUGCUUGAAGAAGGAUACAAUAAUUAUAUCAAAGGUUUUAUUAGUCAAAUGCUCAAUGCUGUAAGACGAGGGAAAAUAGACCGUUGAUGCUGCAUGUCCUCAAAUACACCGUAGAACUGUAGUCGCGGGAGAAAUAUGUUUUUGAAUAGAAGUACGGACUACAAUCCAUUUUCCCGACAACGACAUUAUAGAUUAGAACGUGACUGACUUCUGAAUGGUCGCUUAAUAACAAUAGACCCGAAUGAUCCUCCUCAUCUCCUUCCUACGAAAUAAGUCACACGUAGUGUCGGUGUACUAAAAUAUAGGGGUUUUAGUAUCAGACUUGUACACAGGCAGUCACGGCCUUCGGACUGGCAAGACCCUAUCGGUCAACAUCAACCUUCAAGCAAUCAAAAACAAGCUCCCGUUAAGCCACCUUGCCGGGAAGAGGAAAAUCUAACAGCAACCAUGCUCGGCAGGACCCAUUCAGAUCUUCGUCGCUCCAUCUCAUUAGGCUCAUUAGGCUGAUUAUCAGUGAGGUGUUGAGCGGGCAAGCGGUUAGGUGGGUCUAGCUAGGGGCACACAAUCAUUUUUAUGACAUCCGUCCCGUGGUAUGUCAAGCAAAUAGAAGGUAGUUGGGCGAAUGACACUGUCAAGCAAAUAGAAGGUAGUUGGGCGAAUGACACAGAAGAAGCAAUUCUUGCGGGACGCUUACGGUGCAUUUAAUGCGCCUGUCUCUCUUCGUUAGAUUUUUAGGUAUUUUUCAUUGUUGCUUCUGUUAGUAGUUUUGACUGUUAGUUUGUGGACUAUUCAACCACGAAAAGAUCAUUUAGCCACUGUGGUAACCCUUUAGACUAUAAAAGGAGGUCCAUGACUACGUUUAUAA